rfam:Triticum aestivum genome assembly, contig: Triticum_aestivum_CS42_TGACv1_scaffold_030602_1BL
UAUAUACUCCCUCCAUCCAAAAAUACUUAUCAGAAAAAUAGAUGUAUCUACAUAUAUUUUAAUUUUAGAUACAUACAAUUUUAUCCAUUUUUAUGACAAGUAUUUUCGGAUGGAGGGAUUACUAC